AUGGAGAAAGGUUCGGAUCGCUCAUCCGCCGCCAGUGCGCGAUAGGCCUGUUCCACGGC
rnacentral:sRNA from 1 species